CUAGUUUUGCUGAUCGUCUCGUAUAUCCCAAAAACUAACGAGGAACAAAUAAUUUCGUUAAUUAGUCUACAUAUGAAUUUUAUACUCUUUAAACAAAAGGGUGCUGAUUCUUCCAUGGUUGUUUUAACUUUUUCCACUGGAAAAUUAAUUCAAAUGACAAAUAUACCCUUGGUUUAAAUAUAAUACUAACAUUGAGAUAAUCAUAUUGAAGAGAGAGAGAAAUAUCCCAUUAAAUUGUUUCCAAAACUACGUCCGCGUUCUUCCUCGUUUGGCUCUACAAAGACAUCUUUUCCUUUCCGUGCUGCAAUCUUCACCAAUGCAGACUCUUCAAAAGCUUGUCUCACAUGUUUUACUAGAUUAAGGGUAAACUGGGGUUGCAGGUUUCAACAACAUCACAAGGUAUUGUAGACGAGUAUUAUGGUCAUGUCGACAAUGGGAACUCUAGGGAUCGGAUUUUACAGACAGGAUCUUCCAGCGGGAAUGUAUUAGUUCUAACAUAUUAUGCGUCAAUUCAUCCUUUCCCCUACAGGUUUCACCAUCCAAUUUAUAAGUUAAUAAAACCAUUUUCGUUUCACUAGUGAAUUGUAAUCGUGAUUAUAUGCAAUUUGCAUGUUGUUUCUUGCCAAGAUUGAGUUGCCGAUUACUAGAAAUGUGAGGUUUAACAAGCUCUACUAUCUCUGCUCUACUUAGUGGCUUCCCAAGCACUUCCUCCGUUAGCUCCACUUCAAAUUCCCAAACUCAUAUGGUUUUAGCAUCUCCAAUUGCUUGGAAUUGGAAUAGUUACCCAGAUUCAAUGACUCGAAAAGCUUAAUCUUCUUGGUUGAUUUCUUCAAUGGAGCCUUGUUGGUCUAAGGCCUUGGCAUAAUGGGUGGUGCAAAUGGCAGAAAAGCCGGCUCUCGAAUGGCAAUUGGCUUGGCUAGGUGAAUUUCAAAGUAAUGGCAUUAUUCCGUUUCGCCUGCAUUUUAGUGAAACUCUUCCUCACAACCGAUAAGUCCUUGAAGGAUUCAAAUGGGUUGGUGAUGGUCCUUCUCUUUUUUGAGUUGUACACCAUCAUAGAACGACAAGUGUUCGGGAUGUGAGCUUAUGGGUAUUUUUUACUCCAUGGUUGCAAUCAUCUCUAUUCAGGUCUAUGGAAGUGUUUUCCUCACCCCCACAUCGAUGGUUGAUCUGAUCCGUGGUUUGCCCCAACAUAUGAUUUUAUUGGUUCAUCAAGGUCGGUCAUCGAGGUGAUAGUUCUUGCAGAGAGCCUUGAGGGGAAUAGUUCAGUCCUUUUCCUUUUUAGGGAAGAUCUACUAAGGCAGGGGUUAUGUUCUUCUGGUGUACUGUUUGGGAUUGGGCUAUGAGGUCUAUUAGAAAAAAGGGCCCAAAACAGCCGGUCAACACUAAAUAAAUAUUGUUCCAUCAAUUCUUAAUUUCUUUUUGCAAAUAAUAAAUAUGUAAUAGUAGGUUGAUUGUAAACCCCGGUAAUUUGUUGAAAUCAAUGAAAAUAAUUUAAUGAA